rnacentral:rRNA from 1 species
CCUACGGGAGGCAGCAGUGAGGAAUAUUGGUCAAUGGCCGGAAGGCUGAACCAGCCAUGCCGCGUGAAGGUCAGUGCCCUAUGGGCGUUAAACCUCUUUUGUGCGGGAGCAAUAAUGGUCAAGUGUGGCCAGACGAGAGUACCGUACGAAUAAGCAUCGGCUAACUCCGUGCCAGCAGCCGCGGUAAUACGGGGGAUGCAAGCGUUAUUCGGAUUUAUUGGGGUUAAAUGGUGCGUAGGCUGUGAGGUAAGUCAGCGGUGGAAUGCCCUCGCUCAACGGGGUGAAGUGCGAUUGAUACUGGCUGGCUGGAAUGCGGAUGCCGUGGGAGGAAUGUGUGGUGUAGCGGUGAAAUGCAUAGAUAUCA